UACGUAGGGGGCAAGCGUUGUCCGGAUUUAUUGGGCGUAAAGAGCGUGUAGGCGGCCAGACAGGUCCGUUGUGAAAACUCGAGGCUCAACCUCGAGACGCCGAUGGAAACCAUGUGGCUAGAGUCCGGAAGAGGAGAGUGGAAUUCCUGGUGUAGCGGUGAAAUGCGCAGAUAUCAGGAAGAACACCCGUGGCUAAGGCGGCUCUCUAGUACGGUACUGACGCUGAGACGCGAAAGCGUGGGGAGCAAACAGGG
rnacentral:rRNA from 1 species